GGAUAUUUAACUCUGGAAGAUUUCAAAAAAGCAUUUAAGCAGGUGGCUCCCAAGUUAUCGGAAAGGAUUAUUCUCGAGGUAUUCAGGUGUGUUAAUUAGGGUUUCGUACAGCAGUAAGAGCCAGAAAACCCAAAACAACAAAGCUCAAAAAAGAGAGCAAUAAACACAGGAGAGUCCAGGGCUGAUCUGAUGGCAACACAGCUGUGAAGGACCCAGAUUCCUCCCCUCCUGUUGUUUGGCUGCCUCAGCAUCUGGCUUCUCCCUCUUGCUUCAAGGUGGCUCCCAAGGUUUCAGCCAUCACACCCGAAUUCCAGCUAGGUAGGCCGAAAGGGAGCAGAAGAUAUGCCCCUCCUUUUAAGGCUAUCCAUUAUUUCUUCCUACAUCCCAGUGACCAAAGCUUCGUUCCAAGGCCACGAAUAGCUACAAGGGGGAGGUGGGUCUGGAAAAUGUAGUCCCUGCUUUGGGCAGUCAUGUGCACUCAAAUGGAGUUUCUGAUACUGGGGAAGAAGGAGAGAACAGAUAUUGGGGGACAUCUGGCAGGUGUUCCCAUGUGGAUAAAAGUAAUUUCAUGAAAUCUGACCGGAAGCCAGCCCUGCUCAGUAGAAGUUAUCAAGCAGGUUAUUUGAAAUAAGAAUCUGCACUCACUGUCGUUAACGGUGACAUAUAUGAAAUUCUUUUGCUGCAUCAUUUUCAAGCAGAUUAUUGAGCAAGCUAUUGAAGAGCAAAGGAGUUCAAGCCAAGCGCAGACAAAGUGCCCGAGGACAGUAUUACUUAGGUGAUUCCAGAACAUCAAGACCUUUAAAAUAUAGUAGCAUCCUUGUGUACACUUUGUGAUGAGAAGAGUAAUGAAAGUCAAUGUAUUUCUACCACAUGGUGGUUUUUCACAAAAAGAAUUACUUCAUUUUACUUUUACAAAAAGACACGUGUCAGUCUUCCCUGGUGGCACAGUGGUUAAGAAUCCGCCUGCCAAUGCAGGGGACACAGGUUCGAGCCCUGGUCCAGGAAGAUCCCACAUGCCGCGGAGCAACUAAGCCCGUGCGCCACAACUACUGAGCCUGUGCUCUAGAGCCCACGAGCCACAACUACUGAGCCUGCGCACCGCAACUACUGAAGCUGGCGUGCUUAGAGCCUGUGCUCCACAACAGGAGAAGCCACCGCAAUGAGAAACCCAUGCACCGCAACGAAGAGUAGCCCCCACUCACCGCAACUAGAGAAAGCCCGUGCACAGCAAUGAAGACCUAAUGCAGCCAAAAAUAAAUAAAUUAAAUAAAUUAAAAAAAAAAAAAAA